GAUGAACGCUGGCGGCGUGCCUAAUACAUGCAAGUCGAGCGAACGGACGAGAAGCUUGCUUCUCUGAUGUUAGCGGCGGACGGGUGAGUAACACGUGGAUAACCUACCUAUAAGACUGGGAUAACUUCGGGAAACCGGAGCUAAUACCGGAUAAUAUUUUGAACCGCAUGGUUCAAAAGUGAAAGACGGUCUUGCUGUCACUUAUAGAUGGAUCCGCGCUGCAUUAGCUAGUUGGUAAGGUAACGGCUUACCAAGGCAACGAUGCAUAGCCGACCUGAGAGGGUGAUCGGCCACACUGGAACUGAGACACGGUCCAGACUCCUACGGGAGGUAGCAGUAGGGAAUCUUCCGCAAUGGGCGAAAGCCUGACGGAGCAACGCCGCGUGAGUGAUGAAGGUCUUCGGAUCGUAAAACUCUGUUAUUAGGGAAGAACAUAUGUGUAAGUAGCUGUGCACAUCGUGACGGUACCUAAUCAGAAAGCCACGGCUAACUACGUG
rnacentral:rRNA from 1 species